UACAGAGGGUGCGAGCGUUAAUCGGAAUUACUGGGCGUAAAGCGUGCGUAGACGGUUAUUUAAGUCGGGUGUGAAAGCCCCGGGCUUAACCUGGGAAUUGCAUUUGAGACUGAAUAGCUAGGGUGCGGAAGAGGGAAGCGGAAUUUCCGGUGUAGCGGUGAAAUUCGUAGAUAUCAAGCGGAACACCGGUGGCGAAGGCGGCCUUCUGGACAGUGACUGACGCUGAGACGCGAAAGCGUGGGGAGCAAACAGG
rnacentral:rRNA from 1 species